UGAUGAGAUAAAACCGCAAGUGCACGGUCUUACCGAAGUAGUAUAAAAGAGUAUCGUUCCGACAGGGAGUUAUGAAUUCAAUCAACUUUAGAUAAUGAUUAGACUAAAGGUUUAUAAGAUAGAAAAGUUUGGGUUUUUUUAAUUAAAAGUAAAUAAUAAAAGAAAAGAUAAAAGUCUUGGAAUUAUUGGUUCAUCCUAAUGACAAGUCCUUCACAAACCAAACUAUUAAACUUAUAACCUUAUGUUAGACCUAAUUUCUCAAGACAGUUUCUCUUUUGUUCCUCUAGCAACCAAGCCUAUUUCGCUGACUUGAUUACUAUUAGAUUUUGGUUCCUCUAACAACCAAGCCUAUUUCGCUGACUUGAUCAUUAUUAGUUCCCUUGAAGAUCGAAACUAUAUGUCUCAAAGAUUGUAAAGACUAUUUCGCUGCCUUUACAAUCUUUGUCUAAAUUCACUUGUUCGAAUAUCAAAGCUCCACUUUCGUUUUAUGAAUUGAUAUUUGAGAUGAUGGAUAAACAAUUAUCAAACCCUCCACUUUCGUUUCCACAGUUUGAUAAUGGUUGAUCCAUGUUAAAGCGGUGAAUUUAGAUAAGGAAUUAGGGUUACAUAAGAUUAAGGUUUAAAGCUUGGUUUGAUUAGGAUUAUGUCAUUAGACUUAUCCAACAAUCCCAAGACAAGAGAAGUCUACUCACUGACGUUCAUUGUAGACAAGGAGAAGAAGAGAGAAAGCAUAAAGAUAAAUAACAAGAAAGUAAAAUGAACUUUUGUUAGAAAGACAAUUGUCACAUAUUGUAUUCCCAGAAAAGAUGAUUAUUUGUGAUGGAUGGCUACUCUAUUUAUAGCAUUUAUUCGACUUAAAAUCUAAGCUACUACAUUUGGGCUAAAAAUAGAGUAGCUUAAAAUCUAAGCAAAAGCAGCAAAAGAGGCAUUGGAAGGUGGCACGGCCGUGCCAAGCCUAGCACGGGCCGUGCGAAGGUUCUGACUUGGGGGAGACAUAUUUUGUCUUCCGAAUCUUCGUAUUUCUGCACCGAAUCAGCUCCAAUCCUCAUUCUUUUGCUCCAAGACUCAAUCCAUCCAAUAUUCAUUCCUGAAAUAUAAAAUAUGCAAUUGUAGUAAUAUAAUUCAAAAAGGAAAUAUUAUAAAUAUAAAUAUAACUAAAAUCUAAAUAAAACAAUACUAAAUAUUAU
rnacentral:lncRNA from 1 species